rnacentral:rRNA from 1 species
UGGGGGAUAUUGCACAAUGGGCGAAAGCCUGAUGCAGCGACGCCGCGUGGGGGAUGAAGGCCUUCGGGUUGUAAACUUCUUUUGCUCUGAACAAGGCAUGCUAAUGGGUGUGUUGAGUGUAGGGGUUGAUUAGCGCCGGCUAACUACGUGCCAGCAGCCGCGGUAAUACGUAGGGCGCGAGCGUUGUCCGGAAUUAUUGGGCGUAAAGGGCUUGUAGGUGGCUGGUUGCGUCUGUCGUGAAAGCUCAUGGCUUAACUGUGGGUUUGCGGUGGGUACGGGCUGGCUUGAGUGCAGUAAGGGAGGCUGGAAUUCCUGGUGUAGCGGUGGAAUGCGCGGAUAUCAGGAGGAAUACCGGUGGCGAAGGCGGGUCUCUGGGCUGUUACUGACACUGAGGAGCGAAAGCAUGGGGAGCGAACAGG